CCGGUAUCGCAUCGGCCCGGCGAGGGGCGUUGACAGCGCCGCGGGCAACCACGACCCUCGUCAGGGCGCGUUCGAGAAUCCCGCGUGCCGGC
rnacentral:tRNA from 1 species